GAAGAAGGUAGUUGAAAAUUUGUUGUUACAACGUUUAUUAGACUUUAUUUAGAAAUACCAACGGGGGAAACAACGCGCGGCCCCGUUGUUAUUCGGCAAAUUGUUUAGUUACGAGAGAAAGUUUUCCCAUUCUAUUUUUUCGUUAUUUUGCGUGUGUGUUUACUUUGGAAGAGGAAGAGGAAGAAGAAGAAGAAAAAGAAUAAUAAUAAUAAGAAGAAGAAGACCGAGAGAGUGCGUCGUAUUAACGGAAUAAUUUCUUGAAAAUCUCUUUCUUCUUUUUUUCCCCCAUAACAUUUGUAAUGAGUAUGUAAAAAUUAAGGGAAAAAAAACGAGGAAAAGAGUAAGAAAAAUUAGAAAAGGAGAGCUAGCUAGGUAGCCAGCUUGUUAACAACGUCAACAUUCGAGAGUUCGUCGAGGCACGUUCGUCGUCGUCGAAAGUUUCAUUCAGGUGCCGCCAUUAGCGAGUUUUGAAAGACAGAGUGAGAGACAGGUAGAAGGAAGGGGAGAGAAGACGGGGAUUGGAAGAGAGGGAAAGGGGGCAAGGGCUAUGUCCAAGCUGACCAGGUAUCCUCGUCCUUUCUUUCGCACGGCAACGGAAUUAUCGACGCACUUGGCGUGCUUUACGACCGGCAGAGGCCCGUUACGGAAUCGCCGGAACGGAGAAUGGCCAAAGAGGAGGAAAGAGACAAGGACUAAAAAAAGAAGAGAAUACGGCCAACGGAUC
rnacentral:lncRNA from 1 species